UCCACCUUGGCCACGUGGGACCUCGAGCCUCCCGCGCUCGACGGCCUGGCGCCCCUCGCCGCCGCGGGCGUUCCGCUCUUCCUGGUGGUC
rnacentral:tRNA from 1 species